rnacentral:rRNA from 1 species
UGAGGAACAUGACCUUCGGCGGGGGAUAGCCGGCCCAACGGCCGGGUAAUACCGCGUACGACCACAUGGGACAUCCCUGAGUGGUGAAAGCAGCAAUGCGCCGAUGGAGUGCCUCGCGGCCUAUCAGCUAGUUGGUGAGGUAACGGCUCACCAAGGCGACGACGGGUAGCUGGUCCGAGAGGAUGACCAGCCACAUUGGGACUGAGACACGGCCCAGACCUCCGUAGGGAGG